UACGGGGGGGGCUAGCGUUGUUCGGAAUUACUGGGCGUAAAGGGCGCGUAGGCGGUCUACUAAGUUGGAUGUGAAAACUCUGGGCUUAACCCAGAGCCUGCAUUCAAAACUGAUAGGCUAGAGUUCUGGAGGGGAUAGCGGAAUUCCUGGUGUAGCGGUGAAAUGCGUAGAUAUCAGGAGGAACACCGAUGGCGAAGGCAGUGGUCUGGGCCGAUACUGACGCUGAGACGCGAAAGCGUGGGGAGCGAACAGG
rnacentral:rRNA from 1 species